CUCUGUAAUAAAUGUUAAAUCACUGGAAGCCUUUCCUGUUUAAACAGCACUGGAUGCAUCUCUGCCUGUAUUAUGAUACAUUUCCAUGUUAUUAUAUAUUCCCAGAUGUCAUUCCCAGAGCUUUACAAGCUGCUCCAGAUUGCAGGCUGCGUUUCCCACCCAGCUGCCAUGGGGCCGUGCCACCAGGGUGAAUAAUUCACCUACGUUCAGAGCACACGCCUUUACAAAGCUCUCUGUGAUUGCACUGGGCACUGUGGGAUGCUGACACAUCCUCCUAGAUACAUCCCUCUUGGCUGGAUUAGUCACAUUGCAAGAUUUAAAGGGAAAAAAGAACACGAC
rnacentral:lncRNA from 1 species